rnacentral:lncRNA from 1 species
CUAGUUGCAAAACAUCUGUGGCAACUGAGGUGUUUUACACUUGUCUGAAGUGCAGUGGUGUGGAGAGAAGGCAGUGUUCUGGCCUCAACCCUGCUCUUCUCAUCACUGGCCACCUAUGAACUCUGGCUGGCUUUGGGGUGAACGAGACACCAUCACUUUACUCUGUCAGCCUUUCUGCCAGGACUGAUUGUGGCCAUUUGUAAAUGGAAAGAAUGGGAAGGGCUUUAUCGUCCACAGGGUUUAUUUUAUAAAGAUGAGGAUUCUGAAGACACAUCUGUUCUUUGUAUAACAGAUGUUAUUUCCUUUUACAAUUUUUUUUCCCAGAUGACUUGAAUAACAAGUCAAUGAGGUUUUGUCCUCUUCAAAAUGAAUAUCCUAGACUUUAGGGGGAAAAAAAGCACAGUGGGAAUGAAAAUGAAUCUUUUUGAUUUUUGCAUUUCAGAUUCUUCAUAUUGCAUUACAAUAGUAGAACUAUCCCCACUGGAAAUCAACUGAAGUCAGGCCUUACUUUCUAAUGUGCUACUUUAUCUAGAUAGGGCUAUUUUAUUUAGAGAGUAACAAGACACUUAAGUUAUUGUUUAGAUACUUCUCUUUAGCUCAUAUUACAGAGUUAACUUUGUUCCUGGCUUACAUUUUGAGCUUGUGUACAUAAAACUGGAGGGACAGAUGCAAAUUGAAAAGUGGAACCAAGGAACAGGACACGUGUGGAUGUUGGGCGCCCUGUGAACAAAAAUUCAGAUAUUACAUGGGGUGCGUCAGUUAUCUGAAAAUGAUGGUAUGUUCAUAACUACCUAUGGCACUUCAAUUGUGAAAGCAAGCCUUAAAAUAUUUCUAAAGGAAUACAGAUUGAAAAA